rnacentral:lncRNA from 1 species
CUGGGUGACAGUGCGAGACUCCGUUUCAAACAAAACAAAACAAAAAAACCCUCUACUGUUUUCCUCUCUCCUUCUGCUCCUGCCCAGCCCAGGUUGCAUUCCUUUCCCUUUAGCUUUCAGGGCCCAAGCCUUCUGCUGGCCUCCUUUCUGGAGAAAAGAAGGAAGAGAGGAGGCUGAGGACAUGAAGCUGAGACGCCUGCAGGCUGCAUGCGGAGACCCUCGUGUUGCCAUCUCCUGCAGCAGCAGCGCAGAGUCAGAAGGGCCACCUACUGAGGCCCGAGAAACCACCCACACUCCCCUGAUCGGCUGGAACCCAGGGGAGCCGGCCUUAAUCCUGGCCUCCCUGGGGCUCAAAAGAAUCUGGAUCACAACAGGAUGCCAGAGAAGAGGUGGCCAAGAGAACCCAGCGGCGUCGUUCUCAUUACAGGGGCCUCCUCAGCGAAGACCCCUCACUCUCUUCUGGCUUUCCUCUCUGGUUUCCUCACUGACGUCAUAAAAAUUUGUAUUCAUUCAUUCAAUAAAUACUUAUUGAGAACAUGCCCAAAGUACUGGGGUAAUUAAGAGUGGGAGACAAGGAGGCAAAAAUGAGUCAGCUGUGAACUUUGCCUGCGGAAGGCUGAGACCGGCAGAUUCCUGUCCAGGUUCUGAAACUUACUAGUUCUGUGACCUUAGCUACGUCAGCUCACUUUUCUGAUUCCCAGUUUACUUGUCUGAAAAACUAGGAUGAUAAUCACAGAUUGCUGGUGAGAGACUGACUCUACAAAUGGCCAGCGGCCAGACCAGACAUAAAAAUAGAUCUCUGACCCACAAUCUGCAGCAACCAGCCCAGGAAGCCCCGCCAUCCUCUACAACGACCAGCCCAGGAAGC